rnacentral:rRNA from 1 species
CGAUGAAGAACGCAGCGAAAUGUGAUAAGUAAUGUGAAUUGCAGAAUUCAGUGAAUCAUCGAAUCUUUGAACGCACAUUGCGCCCGCCAGUAUUCUGGCGGGCAUGCCUGUCCGAGCGUCAUUUCAACCCUCGAACCCCUCCGGGGGAUCGGCGUUGGGGAUCGGGACCCCUCACACGGGUGCCGGCCCCGAAAUACAGUGGCGGUCUCGCCGCAGCCUCUCCUGCGCAGUAGUUUGCACAACUCGCACCGGGAGCGCGGCGCGUCCACGUCCGUAAAACACCCAACUUUCUGAAAUGUUGACCUCGGAUCAGGUAGGAAUACCCGCUGAACUUAAGCAUAUCAAUAAGCGGAGGA